rnacentral:lncRNA from 1 species
AGAAAGCGAGCCCUGAGAAGCCAGGGGCAGGAGCGGCCUCCGCGCGACACUGCGGCGCUCCUGAUUCUGCGGCCUGGGGCCGAGCAUGCGGGGCGGGCGGAGCCUCGAGCUAAGUCCCCUGGGGUCCCAGGGCCGCAUUCCUCCGAGGUCUGCAAAGGCCACUGCUUAAAGGCGCAGAGGAGCAGCUGGGAACGAGAACAAAGCGGCCAGGCCCCCCUCGGAGGAAGGAAGGAGAGAGCCCCAGGAAACAGCUGAUAGCGCUAAGCUCAGCUUGUUUUUUUCCUCUGCUCAACAGUUCUCCUGCCACGGCAAACAAAACAUGUACAUUCUGAUUCCCUCUUCUGUUUGGAUUGUGCUGUCGACUGGAUCUGGUUUGUGAUGAGCUGGGGGAAGAGGCAUCCGCGGGCGAUUUCUGGCUCGGCGUGCCAGUGUGCUUUUGCUGGGCCGCGCCGGGAUCGCGGAGCUUCCUCUCCGGCUCCUUUCUCCCCGUCUGCGUCGCUAAUCCAGCCUGGCCCGGCCACCCCAAGGGAAGACACGGCCGUUUCUUUUGAUAGUGGAAUUGGAGGUUGCCAAGUUUUCAGAUUUAAUGGGAGGUGGAGGGUUGCUCGUGUCCUUGACCUUGAAGGACCUGCGCACACUCAUACUUUUUCAUGGACUUGUAAAACUGUUAAGAGGUGAACUGUGCCCUCUCAGCUCCACCAGAAGCCCCUCCAUGUUCUCUGCACUGCGAAGGUCACAGUCUGGUUCCUGGUUGUCCAGAGCCACACUGGGACUCUGUCCAGGGCCAGCCUGGGCCCUGCCAGUUCGGUUCAGAGUGACAGCUACAGGGUCAAUGGAAGAGGCCAGCACCCAACAGCAAGAACAAUGUAGGGGGUAUCUGGACGGGCUUGGGAUCUUAAUCACACCUUAAGGUGUCUACCUUCCCCAAUGUCUGGACACCUGUUGGUGACAGGUGGCCCUGAUGGGACUAAGCUUGAGAUUACUGUACUAGAAGGACUUCCCGCUGCCCCUGAGGGGAUGGGGGAGGGGCACUGGCACUGCCAGGCGUGCUAAACCCCGUGAGGUCUGUUGUUCGAUGUCGCCCAAUGCUGGGUAUACUUGGUUUUUGCCUGACCAGGUGUUGACUGUGUGGGUCUGGAAAGGGCACCAUAAAACCCAAAGUAAAAUAAGGUAAAACCCAGAAAAGGAUAAAACACAUACACACACACACACCCACACACCCCUCCACUAAGAGGUGCUGAUACUCGGGCAAUCCCUACAGCCCUGGGCAUGGCGGUUCUGGUCACAUGCACUGAAGGAGACGGUUCUGAUGCUGCUGAGACAGAGGCGCAGGGCCCUGUGUAACUGCAGGAGUUAAACCCAGCUGUAAGAGGUCAGCGUGGUUGGACCUGCUCCACGCUGCUUGGCGCGUUCUCUCCUCCCACCCUACUCUGAGGAGGCAGUUCACAUGCAGAAGACAAAUGGCAUAAAGGGCAGGCAAUUAAUUUUUUCAGCUGGAGGCUGCAAUGGAAUGUGGGUGCUUAAAGUCUGGCGUGCGCCUCUAAUUCCAUUCUCCUCAGUGAAAUACCUCCGCUCUUCAAGGAGGUGGUGCCCUUCAAAGCUCCAUGGCUGACAUUUUCUGUCUUUAGGACCAAGAGGUGAAUUUAGUCCUGAAAAUUAUUUGGAAUGAAUCUAAGGCCUUCCUGCACGCUGUCUCAUGCUCUUUCCACUACACCAGGGGGUCUACAGUGCUGUAAAGAUGGCAGGCCAAUUCUUUACUUAUUUCCUUGGGGAGGUGGUUGCAGAGCAUGGCCCAGGGUCUGGUCCCAUCUCCCAGAACCCUCUGCUGUGUGGAGCAGCCGAGCCAGCCUGAAACAGGCAAAAAAUGGAGAAUUCACUGGGAUAAGGGGAAGGGAAACAUCUUUAGCAAGAAUGCUAAAGAUCAAGGACUUAGUACUGGGCAAAUGGGGAGAGGGAAGAAGGGGACUCUACAAGGGAGAAAAGAAAUCCUGAAGGGAACUUGGAGGGGUAAGAAAAAGUCACUUCACCUACUUCUAUAGAGGCGGAAUAAUGUAGUAGUGAAAAGCGCAGGCCAGGGCAGGCAUGGUGGGUCACGCCUGUAAUCCCAGCCCUUUGGGAGGCUGUGGCGGAUGGAUCACAGGAGGUCGGGAGUUCGAGACCAGCCUAGCUAACAUGGUGAAACCCUGUCUCUACUAAAAAUACAAAAUUAGCCGGGCGUGGUGGUGAGCGCCUGUAAUCCCAGCUACUCAGGAGGCUGAGGCAGGAGAAUCACUUGAACCUGGGAGGUGGAGGUUGCAGUGAGCCAAGAUCAUGCCACUGCACUCCAGUCUGGGUGAUAGAGUGAGGCUCGGUCUAAAAAAAAAAAACAAGGUGCAGCCUGUGUGUGAUUCUUAGGUUGGUGAUCUUAGGCAAGAUUUAACCUCUCUAUGGUUCAGUUUCCUAAUCUGCAAAAUGGACGCUAUCUCAUAGGGUUACUAUGGAGAUCAAAUGAGGAAUUCACAUAAAGCACUACAGAAAAUAUUUAGCAUGGAAUAAGCACUCAAUAAUGUUUUCCAUUAUUAUUUCCAAUUUUUCUCUCAGCAUGUGUUUCACAAUCCUUUGUUCAUGGCAAGGUAUGUUGUCCACUUUCACCCUACACCUUCUACCGAGCAACUUAGGUUUAUCCAGUAUCCUCAUUAGUAACUUUAAUCCUUAAUGUCACUCACCUUUGAAAUGUGCUCAUUGGACGGGUGCCACACAGAGCAAGCUCGCAAUAAAUGUUGCUGAAUAGAACUUACUGACUGCCACUGACUUAACUUCGUUUGGAUGUUGUUUAUAGUCUCUUUAUGCCUCUGCCACCCCAGCAGAGUCAUAAAGAACCAGACAGAAGCAGGACCCAAGAACAUGAGGCCCAAAGGAGAGCUGUGGGAAGUGAAAUACUAUAUUCAGGGAGACCCUCAGCUCCUUCCCAUCUCAGUUCCCCAAAUGAGAGCAAGCAGGCUGAUACUUCUCAGGUGGGGUAUGGAGAUAUCCCACCUGAUCCCUCUUGUCAGUUGAUAAGCUGGACUCCACAUAGCUUAUAGUCAGCUUUUUGGUGCUUCACUCUUAAAUAUGAAUGACUAGACAAAGAUCAAUUGUCA